GAUGAAGAACGCAGCGAAAUGCGAUAAGUAAUGUGAAUUGCAGAAUUCAGUGAAUCAUCGAAUCUUUGAACGCACAUUGCGCCCUCUGGUAUUCCGGGGGGCAUGCCAGUUCGAGCGUCAUUAUAACCACUCAAGCUCUCGCUUGGUAUUGGGGUUCGCGGUUCCGCGGCCCCUAAAAUCAGUGGCGGUGCCUGUCGGCUCUACGCGUAGUAAUACUCCUCGCGAUUGAGUCCGGUAGGUCUACUUGCCAGCAACCCCCAAUUUUUACAGGUUGACCUCGGAUCAGGUAGGGAUACCCGCUGAACUUAAGCAUAUCAAUAAGCGGAGGA
rnacentral:misc_RNA from 1 species